GAUGAAGAACGUAGCGAAAUGCGAUAAGUAAUGUGAAUUGCAGAAUUCAGUGAAUCAUCGAGUCUUUGAACGCACAUUGCGCCCCCUGGUAUUCCGGGGGGCAUGCCUGUCCGAGCGUCAUUGCCGCCCUCAAGCACGGCUUGUGUGUUGGGCCCCCGCCCCCCGGCUUCGGGGGGCGGGCCCGAAAGGCAGCGGCGGCACCGCGUCCGGUCCUCGAGCGUAUGGGGCUUCGUCACCCGCUCUGUAGGCCCGGCCGGCGCCCGCCGGCGACCCCAAUCAAUCUUUCCAGGUUGACCUCGGAUCAGGUAGGGAUACCCGCUGAACCUAAGCAUAUCAAUAAGCGGAGGA
rnacentral:misc_RNA from 1 species